rnacentral:miRNA from 1 species
UUGCACUGCAUGGUAUCUG